rnacentral:rRNA from 1 species
AUGGAGCAGUGCGAGGAUCGUGGCGGGCGGUACCUGAGGCAGGUCUCGCAAAACUUGAGCUUCACUGUGAAGCCAUUCACGUUGACAUCCUUGGUACGGCGAAACCUCAUCCGUGGGGUGCCCCCGACGCUCCACUCCAUCGAGGGUGUGGCGGGGAGGUUCCGUUCAUCAGCUUCAGGCGGCGGGGCUCUUGUGUUUCGUGGCACUAUUCCUGGGUCCCUGGCCGAUGUCAUGAACAGGAAGAACAGGUCCUGCAUUUUUUGGCAAACAUCACAAGGGUUGUUCAGCGUUGCAUCUGAGCUGAUGAAGAAGGUGACACCGAAGGUAUGCAGACAACAAGAUGAAGACUAA